rnacentral:lncRNA from 1 species
UAACAAUUCAAUGAGUAAGUUAUUUUUAAUAUUCUCAUCUUACAGAUAAAAAAUACUUGGGGGAUUUUUCUGUAGAGAGGGGCGUUUCACUGAUUUGUAAGAAACUAUAGGUAAUAGAGGUCACUAGGACCCAGAUCUCCCUUAUAAAAUAGCUAAGGCAAAAAAAGAUUUGAGAAUCCAAAAGGUUAGAGAACAACUAAUGCAAAGCCAAGCAAGAACCCAAACAAGAGGAACUGUUUUGAUGACAAAGCUCAUCUUCUUAAGGUAUCUAAUAUGUGCCAAUCCCUGUGCUACAGACACAAGAAAACAGACCCUGAUGACACUCCAGUGGAGGAGAAGGUAGCUAGACUGGACUGGACCCAUCAGAGCUCCAAGACUGGAAAGACAGAUGCCAAUUUUGUGGGGAGCCUCAGAGGAGUUGGGAUGUUGGACACAUGAGCCAACCUGAUCUUUGGCUGGAGAAGAAACUGGGAGCUAAAGGAUCUCUUCCUGAUUACGUGGUGCUGUGGAGGAAGUAGUGAUUCUGAAACACUGGAAGCCAGAAGACAGUGGAGGAAAAUCUUCAACCUACUGAAAGAAGACAGCUCUCAACCUAGAGCUCUAUUCCUAGCAAAAACAUUGUUUGAGGAAAAAGGCCUCUCUCUGUCACCUAGGCUGGAGAGCAGUGGUGCAAUUACAGCUCACAGCAGCCUCAACUUCCUGGGGUCAAGUGAUUCUCCUACCUCAGCCUCCCAAGUAGCUGGGACUACAGGCAUAUGCCACCACAUCCAGUUAAGUGUGUGUUUGUGUGUGUGUGGGUAGACAGCAUCUCACUAGGUUGCCUAGGCUGGUCUCAAACUUCUGGGCUCAACUGAUACUUCUGCCUCAGGCUCUCAAAGUUCUGGGAUUACAGGCAAGUUGCUGCAUUUUUAAAAUUACAUUUUAUCAGUUAAGAGCGUUCGCUAGUUAUUGUUUUCUAUAUAUGUUUAUAAUAAAUACACAAUAUAUUUUUUACAAAAGUCUUUUCUGCAUUUGUUUAGAUUAUAUAUGAGUCUUUAUUCUGUUACUAUGGUGAAUUACACUGAUUGACUUUCAUAUAUUAUACCAAACUCACAUUCCUAAAACAAAAGCAACUUAGUCAUGACAUGUUAUCAUUUUUAUGUAUUUCUAGAUUUUAUUUGAUAGCAUUUUGUUUAAAAGAUUUGAACCUAUGUUUAUGAGUUAGAUUGAUCUGUAAUCUUUCCUUUUAACAUCCCUAUCAGGUAUUGAUAUCAACACUCCUGGCUUUAUAAACUGAGUUGGGAAGUAUUUCUCCCCAUUUUUUUUUUCAGUCUUGGAAACAUAUAAUUUGUUUCUAUGUUUUUGAGAAUGGUAUUGUUUCUUAAUUAUAUAGUAGAAAAAAAGUAUGUUGAAGUCUUUGCCUAUGAACAUAAUAAUUUUGUCAAGUUUGCGUUGUAGUUCUGUCAAUGUUUGCUUUGUGCAGCAUACACAUUUGGAAUUAUUAUCUCUCUCUGAUGAAAUGAUUAUUAUCACUACAAAGUAUCCCAGCUUGCUUUGAAUAAUGUUUCUUGUCUGCAUCUGAUAUUAAUCUAGCAAGAUCAGCUUUCUUGUUAACAUUUGCAUUGUUAUAUCUCCCUACCCUUUUUACCUUCAGACUUCUGAAAUCUUACAUCUUGGGUCAUCACUUGUAAGAAGCAUAUAGUUGUUGUGUUUUAGUCAUGUCUCAUAAUAUUUGUUUUUAAGUGGUCUCCUACAGUUCAUUUAAAUUUAACAUCAUAACAUGUAUUUGUGAUUACAUCUACAUCGUAUUACUUUUCAUUUGUCUUGCUUAUACUUUAUUCCUUUUUCUCUCCCUUUUUGCCUAAUUUUGGACUAAUUAUCUGUUAGUAUGCCAUUUUCCAUUACCUUUAACUCAGUAAUUCUACACUCUCUUUUUUUUAUUAACUUUCAGUCCAUUAAGAGUUUAUUUUGGGUAGGCAUCUGGGAUCUCCUUCUUUUUGUGUGUCCCCUUUCUUUUCUGUUUCACUCCCAUUCUAUUUUGUUUAUUUCAACAGAUUUUGGAGUACAAGUGGUUUUUUGUUAGAUGAAUGAAUUAUAUGGCAGUGAAUUCUGAGAUUUUAGUGCACCAUCACCCAAGUAGUAUACACUGUGCCUAAUGGGUGUUUUUUAUCCCUAGCCCUCCUCCCCUAUUACUCUCUGAGUCGCUAAAGCCCAUUAUAUUGUAUUACCCUGCAUGCCUUUGCAUACUCAUAGCUUAGCUCCCACUUGUAAGUGAGAACAUGGUUUUUGGUUUUCCAUUCCUGUGUUACUUCACUUAGAAUAUUGUCCUCCAGCUCUAUCCAAGUUGCUGAGAAAGACAUUAUUUCCUUCCACUUUAUGGCUGUGUACACUCUUUUUCUAUUCUUUUAGUGAUUUCACUAGAUGAAAACAAGCCCUUUGUACUUACUAAGUCUAAGGUUUCCUGCGACUCUUACCAUUUCUCAGACAACUCAGGAACAUUAGAACACUAACUCAUAUCUUCCCCUCUUGACUUACAAGCUAUUCUUAUUAUGUACUUCAAUUCCAUACCUACUCAUAAUGAGAGCUUAAUUUUAUUGAUUUACACAGAAAAAUUCACUGGAUCACUCUCAUAUAUGCUUGUUUUUACCUCUUCAUUCUUCCUCGUGUCUAUGAAUUUUCACCUGAAAUCAAGGAUUUUUUAAUGCCUGAAGAACGUGCUGUAUCAGAGGCUGAUUUGCUGUGAAUAUAUUAAAACUUAAGUUCCAUAAAAUUUUUCUGACAGGGACCCCUUUUCCAGUGUGCUUACAUGAUUAAAUACUUUUGUAAAAUUUGAAAAAUAAGAUAUUUCAGCUGAAAUGAGUUUAAGACCACUUUCCUUUGCACUAGGGUUUCUUGUUCAUCAGACUUCCCUUCAUAACAAAUAAUACUUGAUUGGACAUAAGCUAGGGGAAGUGGAGUUGCACACACAUUUGGCUUGGGUUUAGAAUACAUUUUUAAAUUUCUUGUCACCUCUGUGUGUAGCUAAAUAGUUUCUAGCUAUUUUUUGGAUACUCCUACCCUUUGUUGUGCUGACUCACCUGACAUCAGGACACGAAGAUGGAAGGCUGAGGUAGUUAAUAAAUAUGCUGUGCUUUUGCCUGUGUGAAAAAAACAGAUACAUGUAUCCUAUGGUGUUCAGCAUUGGGAAUAUGUGGUUGUGGAAGAAGAGGAAGAGGAAGAAGAAGAAGGAGGAGGAGGAAAAAGAAGAAGGAGGAGGAGGAGGAAAGGAGGAAAGAAAGAAAGAAGAAAAAAAGAAAGAAAGAAAGAAAGAAAGAAAGAAAGAAAGAAGGAAGGAAGGAAGGAAGGAAGGAAAGGAAAGGAAAGGAAGAAGAAAGAAAGAAAAGGAAACUGAAAUGUGCAAAGGCAUUAGCUAGUAUGUGGGAAAUUCUUUGAUUCAUCAGACAUUUAAGAUCAUAAAUCAGGUUAUUAAUUAUGCUUAAUAAAAGUAGAAGUUUUCCCUUAUCAAGAAUAUACUGAAAAGCAUUAUAAAUCUACAAUACAUACAUUUUUCUUUUUUAUGAGAAUUGUGUGAAAUCAAAUAUAUCAGAAUUCCUGUGUUUGUUAACUACAAACUUUCAGUAGUGCCACAAAUAUCAAAUUUACAUGUGGGUGAUGCUUUAUGCAUCCCAAUAGGAAGGAUCAUAUUUGGGAGUAUUUGAUGCCUAUUUUCCUGAUAUUAUCUGAUAAUAAAAGUCUAAAUAAAGCAGCGGGCAAAAUUGGCUAAACACAGCAUAACAGAAGAACUUAAAAUAACUAUAGAUGUGUUUAGUAGUUAUUUAAUUAAAUAUAUAAUUUGUCUCAAUUUGGAGAUAUUUGUGGUAUUUUUAGCUUUUUGAAAGCAAUUUUGUUAAUUUUUCAUUCGAACAAAUAUUCACUUUUUUUAAAUUUAACUUUGCAGUCAAAACUUGAAUUUUUUUCUAUUAAAGAGGGACUGGAAGUUAACAAAUGCUAAGUUCCACAUAUCCUAAACCAAAACCUUCCUUUUAAUUGCUUAUUCUGUGUUAAUAAAUACUCUGCGCUUUAUACUCUGUGCUGUUGUUUGGCUAAAAAUGUCUUUAAUUCUUUGGCAUUUUUUUGAAGUUGUGCUGGAUUUUGAAUUCUAGAUUUUGAAUUAUUUUAACCCCUUAAAGAUAUUUUUCUUCUUCUGGUUUCCCUUUUUCUGUUGAAGUCUGCUGACAUUUUGAUUGAUGCUUCUUUUUAGAUAAACUGUCUUUAUUCUGGCUGCUUUUUCUUUAGUUUUAGCAGUUUUACUGUGAUACGUCUUGAAUCUGUAACGUACAGUCUUUCAAUUCCUUAUGGAAAAUCCCAUUAUUAUUGCUCCUGCCCCUAAUCACUGUCUUCUCCUUCUGGAACCCCAAAAAGUGUAAACUUAUAUUACAACUAUUUUAUACAUCACUUUAUUCACUAUUCUCUGUGUUUUCCUUCUUUUGUUGCUGCAUGCUUUGAUCUGGAGAUUUCCUUUUGAAAUGACCUGCAAUUUCUUAUUCUUCAUUCAGCUUUGUAUAGUAUAUUUUAAUACAUCCAUUAAUCCACUACUUGUAUUGUUUUCAUUCUCUUUCAAAACUCUCAUUUUUAAAUUAUUUCCUUGAACAUUUAAGCAGAGUUAUUUUAAAGUCUAUAUUUUAUUGCUUCUUGACUUGUAUCAGCUAUGAUUCUGGGACUAUUGUAUGUCAUUCUUCUUGGGUUUUGACCAUGUCUUCUUUUUCUCUAGCAUAUUUGAACAUUUUCUGUUGAAUGCAAGACAUUUUAAUCUGACAAAGGCCUAAUAUCCAGAAUCUACAAAGAACCCAAACAAACUUACAAGAAAAAAACAAACAAUCGCAUCAACAGGUGAGCCAAGGAUGUGAACACUUCUCAAAAGAAGACAUUUAUGCAGCCAACAGACACAUGAAAAAAUGUUCAUCAUCACUGGCCAUGAGAGAAAUGCAUAUCAAAACCACAAUGAGAUACCAUCUCACACCAGUUAGAAUGGUGAUCAUUAAAAAGUUGGGAAACAACAGGUGCUGGAGAGGGUGUGGAGAAAUAGGAAGACUUUUACACUGUUGGUGGGACUGUAAACUAGUUCGUCCACCGUGGAAGACAGUGUGGUGAUUCCUCAAGGAUCUAGAACCAGAAAUACCGUUUGACCCAGCCAUCCCAUUCCUGGGCAUAUACCCAAAGUAUUAUAAAUCAUGCUGCUACAAAGACACAUGCACAUGUAUGUUUAUUGCAGCACUAUUCACAACAGCAAAGACUUGGAACCGACCCAAAUGUCCAUCAAUGAUAGACUAGAUUAAGAAAAUGUGGCACAUAUACACCAUGGAAUACUAUGCAGCCAUAAAAAAAGGAUGAGUUCAUGUCCUUUGUAGGGACAUGAAUGAAGCUGGAAACCAUCAUUCUCAGCAAACUAUCGCAAGGACAAAAAACCAAACACCUCACGUUCUCACUCAUAGGUGGGAACUGAACAAUGAGAACACUUGGACACAGGAAGGGGAACAUCACACAUCGGGACCUGUUGUGGGGUGGGGGUAGGGGGGAGGGAUACCAUUAGGAGAUAUACCUAAUGUAAACGACG